CUCCACAGGUGAUUCCAAGCAUACCACAGUGGAGAACAGGUGCAUCCAGGCCACACCAUAUAAGUGCGUGUUGUAGUAAGUGGGAGUGGGGCAGGAAUUCGUGGCUCUACCUGGGGCUCAGCCACAUCUAUCUGCCCUUGAGAGGCAAACAAGCCCACAGCAGUGGGCAGCCCUCAGCAGCAUGACAAGAUCCCCAGACAAGGAAGUGGUAGCCUCCUACUGUGUUUACUCAGAGUUUUUUGUAGCCCAGCAUCCUGCACCCAUCAUCUCCCGAAGUCCAGUCACAGGGUGGAGCAGACAUAUGCUUGAAAGUCAUUUUGGGGUAACAAAGCCUGAAAUGAGAAAAUUCUGAAUGCAGAACAAAGCAGAAGAGCCUGCCACAACAGCAC
rnacentral:lncRNA from 1 species